rnacentral:rRNA from 1 species
GACGAACGCUGGCGGCGUGCCUAAUACAUGCAAGUAGAACGCUGAAGGAAGGAGCUUGCUCUUUCCGGAUGAGUUGCGAACGGGUGAGUAACGCGUAGGUAACCUGCCUGGUAGCGGGGGAUAACUAUUGGAAACGAUAGCUAAUACCGCAUAACAGUAGAUAUCGCAUGAUAGCUGCUUGAAAGGUGCAAUUGCACCACUACCAGAUGGACCUGCGUUGUAUUAGCUAGUUGGUGAGGUAACGGCUCACCAAGGCAACGAUACAUAGCCGACCUGAGAGGGUGAUCGGCCACACUGGGACUGAGACACGGCCCAGACUCCUACGGGAGGCAGCAGUAGGGAAUCUUCGGCAAUGGACGGAAGUCUGACCGAGCAACGCCGCGUGAGUGAAGAAGGUUUUCGGAUCGUAAAGCUCUGUUGUAAGAGAAGAACGAGUGUGAGAGUGGAAAGUUCACACUGUGACGGUAUCUACCAGAAAGGACGCA